rnacentral:rRNA from 1 species
UACGAAGGUGGCAAGCGUUACUCGGAAUUACUAGGCGUAAAGGGCAGGUAGGUGGUUUGGUAAGUCUGUUGUGAAAGCUCCUUGCUUAACGGGGAGAGGCCAACAGAUACUGCCAGGCUUGAGUCUAGGAGAGGGUACUGGAAUUCCCGGUGUAGCGGUGAAAUGCGCAGAGAUCGGGAGGAACACCAAUGGCGAAAGCAGGUACCUGGACUAGUACUGACACUCAGCUGCGAAAGCUAGGGGAGCAAACAGG